ACGCUCGACACCUACGGGGGCAGCAGUGGGGAAUAUUGCACAAUGGGGGAAACCCUGAUGCAGCGAUGCCGCGUGAAGGAAGAAGUAUCUCGGUAUGUAAACUUCUAUCAGCAGGGAAGAAAAUGACGGUACCUGACUAAGAAGCCCCGGCUAACUACGUGCUAGCAGCCGCGGUAAUCUGAGCGGGCUGGCAAGGC
rnacentral:rRNA from 1 species